GGGCGCGUAGCUCAGUGGUAGAGCACACCCUUCACACGGGUGGGGUCGCAAGUUCAAUCCUUGCCGCGCCCA
rfam:Erythrobacter sp. NAP1 scf_1099465005036 genomic scaffold, whole genome shotgun sequence.